rnacentral:tRNA from 1 species
AGAAAAGUAAGCUAAAUAAAGCUAAUGGGUUCAUACCCCAUAAAUAGAGUAUAAAUUCUCUUUUCUG